GACGAACGCUGGCGGCGUGCUUAACACAUGCAAGUCGAACGGAAAGGCCCUGCUUUUGUGGGGUGCUCGAGUGGCGAACGGGUGAGUAACACGUGAGUAACCUGCCCUUGACUUUGGGAUAACUUCAGGAAACUGGGGCUAAUACCGGAUAGGAGCUCCUGCUGCAUGGUGGGGGUUGGAAAGUUUCGGCGGUUGGGGAUGGACUCGCGGCUUAUCAGCUUGUUGGUGGGGUGGUGGCUUACCAAGGCUUUGACGGGUAGCCGGCCUGAGAGGGUGACCGGCCACAUUGGGACUGAGAUACGGCCCAGACUCCUACGGGAGGCAGCAGUGGGGAAUAUUGCACAAUGGGCGGAAGCCUGAUGCAGCAACGCCGCGUGCGGGAUGACGGCCUUCGUGUUGUAAACCGCUUUCGCCUGUGACGAAGCGUGAGUGACGGUAAUGGGUAAAGAAGCACCGGCUAACUACGUG
rnacentral:rRNA from 1 species